GCCAUAUCAUGUUGAAACAUUGGUUCCCGUACAAGUACUGAAGUUAAGCAAUGUCAAGCCUGGUCAGUACCGAGAUGGGUGACCAAUUGGGAAUAGCAGGUGAUGUG